GAUUUUUCAUAGACACUGAAAAGAAACUUUUUUUUUUUGUUCCCUCUGCAGACAAGACAUUAGCAAGAAGUCGAUUCAAGUGUUGGGCACUAGCCUUCAUCCUGUUGGAUCCUUAUCUGUAGCUAAUUUCCAUUAGCUGCACUAGAGGCCUUGACAUUACCUUGUAGCCAAAAAACACAGACCACCUGAAAGCACGUACGACGUGGUCUUUAGAUUUAAUGACUGCUAGAAUUUCUUCAUCUAUUAUACUUGAGAGUGUUGUGCAUCUCUCCGUCCAUCUGUCUGAGUGCAAGAACGCCUCCAAAAUGGAAUGUCGCCAGUGGGCCUCUGCAUCUCCAACACUGAAUACAAAACAGCGGUUUGAUAAGGGGGAGGUAGAGCUGCCGAGGCCCCCUCAUUAUGCCGUGCUGGUAGGCGCCCGGUCUAAGCAUGAAUACAAAGCACUUCCCACAACGCUCCAGCACCUCCUCUCGGGGGGCCAGAAAUGCCGACACCCUGUUCCAGCCAGCCCAUCUGCUUGCAUUUUUCCAUGCUCACCCCGCCUAGGAGAUGCCUUGCCCAUGGGCAGUGUGUUCCCCAUGUUCAAAGAAUCCCACCCGCGGCUCGCGUGUUGAGCCCCAUGUAAACCCAAACUGUGUCGUGGGCUGCAAACCGCAUGGCGCCUGUGGGCCUCAUGUUGACUAGUCCUGUUUCAGAGAAUCACGAGCAGUGGUGAAACGCAGUGGAAAAGUUCUGCUUUUUUCAUUCGUGACCAGCGGAGCUGGAAAAAUUUUUGUUGAGGGGGGAAAAAAAAAGCUGGGAACAUUUAGUUAAUUUAAAGCGCUGGUCUGCUCCCCUGCCACUCCUCCCACCCCCGCUGUGUGUACAUCGGGCGCUGAGCUGGAAAAAUGCUGGCCAACCCGGAUCAAAGUGCUGUGACCCCCCACGAUGAUGACCGCAACCCCCUGGAGGGUCACGACCCACAGGUUGCACACCGCUGCUAUAUUGGAUACUCAGGGUUUUUUUAAUGACCUUUUCUUUAGCUCCAGCACAGAAUUCACAGCAUUGUGCCUUGUAAUGUCUUGAAUUUCCCAUCCCAGUCUCUGUGGCUCAUUUACAUUAGAAAAAUUAGAUGUUACUGAUGAGCAAUGGGUUCAGUUUGCCUGUUUCUCUGUGAUAGAGAGCAGGCCAAAAACCAGUUCAGAAAAUGCUGGUUAAACUGUGCUUACAGCAAGUCUGUCGUGGUCUUCUGAAAAAAAUGCAGCACACUUUUUAUUCUGGGCUACAGGAAAGCGCACUCAGCUGAUUUGGGGCAGUCACAUUUACCAGUACCACAUAAUUUUUUCUAGCAUAGAGUAGGCCCGAAGGAUGAUAUUGACCAUUUAGCUGCAGAUUUACCACGUCUGCUUCCACAGCGUUGACACCAAUUGUGCUCCAUGCAUUGGGCACUGAGACCAGCCUACUGCUGUUGGCUGGCACAUCUCAGGCUAGUCAACAUCUUUCACUAGCCCGAGGCAAUUUGUGUUAGUCAGAUCUCAGUUAGCAGUGCGGCUCUGUGACAGCACAUUGGGCAGGCCAGGCAAGGCAACAGUGCUAGGUGUCUGUUACAUCAUAAUUUGUUCUUACCGUUGUACAAGAACUACUCAGGUAGGGAAUGACAAUUUCUCCCUGAGCUUGUGCUGUCACUGCUGCUGUGACUUGAAAGGAACAACCAGGGAGUGCAUUUGUAACGUCAGCGCUCUAACAUCCUUGAAAAACGUAACUUGGCUUUGUUACGUGUCCUUCACUUUUCUGGGCCCCACACACUUUUUUUGCUAGACUUUGCCAUCCAAAUCUGCCCUUCCCACUCAUCCGCUGUGCCGGCUACAGCUGUACUUGUAGAUAUUCUCCUUCCUCCUCCAGCAUCUCAGCCUCGACAUGCGCUUUCUGUAGCGUGUGGAUUCAGUGGGCCGACCCCAUCAGGUGCGCUCUUUUGUAUUAUUUCAUAGGAUCUGACUAGAGGCUUUCUGGUAGGGAGACUGUGGAUUAGUUGGUGGAUCUGGUAUGUCACUUGAUCAGUUCCUGGUUUCUACAUGUGCCGGCCGGGCUGUUCCUACCCAUGCACAAAACACGCAGCUGUGUAGGGCACCAUGAAAUUUGGGGCAUCAAAUUGGCAGCCCACCGUCCCCAUCGUCUCCCUUGCACAGGCUCAGUGCCAGGGCUUUGGCAGCCCCCAGUUACCCCUCAGGGGCUCUAGCGGCCCCACCUGAGCACUAAGUCCAGCGGCCUCCAUCCCAUCCCCAUCGCCUGGUGGUGAGUGGUGCUCUUGGGGCUGGAGGACCCAGAUCAUGAGACAGCCAUGCAGCAGGUGGCUGGGGA